rnacentral:rRNA from 1 species
AUGGAGAAGAUGAUGAGCGCAUUAUCAUUCAGUAAGUUAAGCUAUGGAUUUCAGUUGGAGGAGGAAGGCCGUUGGGCCGGGCUAUUUCACACCCGUGUGGUGGUGAGAGAGAGAUCAUGUGCUAUGAUGGUCGAUCACAUGAAUUUGAUCAACGCCGCAAGCAUCGAGAUGGUGGAGAAACUGAAUCUACCAAUGACACCAUGUCCACAACCAUACUGUUUCCGUUGGGGUCAUGAAGAGCUCACUGUCACGCAACAAACAAAGGAGACAUUGAAGAGGGGAUGUCUGGCCAUGAAGCCACCUUAUUGUGAUCGCCAUUGUAUAAUGUCUUUGUUGGGGUAUCUGCUUCUUUCAUGCUUGGAAACAUUGAUGAGGGGAUGUCUGUCCACAAAAUAUGUAAAUACCUCAGGAGGAGCACGGGCAGACGAGUUCCAGCGAAGACAGCAGAGGCGAGAGUGGAAGCUUGCGGCACGGCAAUGUCGAGCCUAA